CUCACUCUGCCUCAACCGUAGUAGCCACUUCUUUCACAACCAACCAGCUCACAAGACAGUCAGCAAAAGGGACACGUUCUGGUUCCAGAACACGGUGUGGACUUAACAAGAGACAGCGCGUAAGAGACUGAGGAGCACCCAGAAGAACAGUGAUGGCAGUGAGAUGUGAUGCUCAAAAAGUGAAUCAGAAAUUCAGCUCAGAUCGUUUUCCCCAGCGAUACAGACCAGGACAAGUGUGUCCCAACAGGCGCGUGUGAUGAGACAGACAGCACUAUAGUGAAGACAGUGAUGUUCAGCUGCUCUCAUUCUGCUUGAACACAGUGAGAGGAAAACACCUAUAAGAAUAUCACCAUGGGACUCGAGAGAUUUUUGUGAAGUACAAAAUGAGUUUCUGCUGAACUUACCUUUGCUCUCGGGCCUCUUUUGAUUAAUAACAUGGACAUUUCAUCAUGGCAUUUUUGGUCUCCGGGUUAUUCCAGAACACUGGACUAGCUACAAGAGAUCAGUCUUAACAAAAUGAUGUGCAUGCUAAAGGAUAACUGGAAUAUUACACGCAGGUGAGUUUGGAGGCUGGAGCUAAUCUCUGCAGAUGUGAAGAACCCUGUGAUAGAUCACACGU